rnacentral:rRNA from 1 species
UGGGGAAUUUUGGACAAUGGGCGGAAGCCUGAUCCAGCAAUGCCGCGUGUGUGAAGAAGGCCUUCGGGUUAUAAAGCACUUUUGUCCGGAAAGAAAUCCUUGGCUCUAAUACAGUCGGGGGAUGACGGUACCGGAAGAAUAAGCACCGGCUAACUACGUGCCAGCAGCCGCGGUAAUACGUAGGGUGCAAGCGUUAAUCGGAAUUACUGGGGCGUAAAGCGUGCGCAGGCGGUUUGCUAAGACCGAUGUGAAAUCCCCGGGCUCAACCUGGGAACUGCAUUGGUGACUGGCAGGCUAGAGUAUGGCAGAGGGGGGUAGAAUUCCACGUGUAGCAGUGAAAUGCGUAGAGAUGUGGAGGAAUACCGAUGGCGAAGGCAGCCCCCUGGGCCAAUACUGACGCUCAUGCACGAAAGCGUGGGGAGCAAACAGGAUUAGAUACCCUGGUAGUCCACGCCCUAAACGAUGUCAACUAGUUGUUGGGGGAUUCAUUUCCUUAGUAACGUAGCUAACGCGUGAAGUUGACCGCCUGGGGAGUACGGUCGCAAGAUUAAAACUCAAUGAAUUGACGGGGUCAUAGCUGUUUCCU